GGUAGUAAGCUUUAAAAAUGACCCCUUUUCCUCAAAGGCGAUAUAUGUCACCCUGCUGUAAAGAGAUUUGAAUUUCUUUGAGUAAGCAAUUAUAUGUUUCUUUCGUAACAGUUAUUAUAAUACAAGUAGAAACAAUGACAACGAAUACACAUUUCUGGCUUAAAUGAUCCGGCAGACCUUGAAUGAAUUGAAAAUACUAAUGUAUUUUAUCUCCCUUUACAGGUUCAGGAUCACACUCAAGUGGAUACACCUCGAGUGAUCCGAGUUUGAAGCCAGUUGUGAAGGGCUUAAAACUUGUGGAAUGGCAAUAAUGUGCUAGACCUCUAUAUAUAGUUUUCUAAACAACAUAUUCUGUGUUUCAGCCUCGAGUGACCCGAACCGGCGCAGGAGGGAUCCACGGCUCUCCACUGCUUCACACGCGACUCCAUCACGAGCAGACCGCGACCUCUUCUACGCCAGCGGGACCGGGGACCUGGAGGAGGUAAAGCGGCUCCUGACAGCGGGAGUCGACGUCAACAGCAGAAAGGAAAGGAGGAGGUGGACACCGGUGAUGGAGGCAGCACUGAGGGGACACAGAGACGUGGUGGAGCUCCUGGUGAGUGAAGGGGCUGAUGUGUCACUGGUGGACGUGGUCGGUAACAACAUCCUUCACUGGGCCUGUCGGGGCGGAGAUGUGGAGACAGUGGAGUUUGUGCUGUCUCUGAACGUGGUGGACAUCGACGCCAGGAACAACUCGGGGCGGACAGCACGGGACGAGGCGAGAGACUGGCAUGAAGAGCCAGUGGUGAAACUGCUCGUGUCCCGCGGCGCUCAGUGACGUCAGUGUCGUGUUUGUGUAGACGGUGGAGGGGGACAUGAUGUUACAGACAGUGACGUGGUGUGCCGUGCGCGUCGUCGAGUUAUAUAUUCCAGGAUUAAGUGAGAAUGUUUCUUGUGUUUGAGGAGAAAUAAAACUUGUU